rnacentral:rRNA from 1 species
UACAGAGGUCUCAAGCGUUGUUCGGAUUCAUUGGGCGUAAAGGGUGCGUAGGUGGCAUGGUAAGUCGGAUGUGAAAUCCCGGGGCUCAACCCCGGAACUGCAUUCGAUACUGCUGCGCUAGAGUACUGGAGAGGAGAUUGGAAUUUACGGUGUAGCAGUGAAAUGCGUAGAUAUCGUAAGGAGGACCAGUGGCGAAGGCGGAUCUCUGGACAGUUACUGACACUGAGGCACGAAGGCCAGGGGAGCAAACGGG